rnacentral:lncRNA from 1 species
AUGUUUUCCUGGAUGGUGUUGAUGCUAGUAGAUGUUCUUCAGUGUCUGGACAUUAAAAUCUUGGGCAUGCAGCACCAUAUGAGAGGUUUAAAAAAUAAAAUUAAAAAAGAGAAAAGAACCCAGAGUUGAUCUCUGCAGCAUGCCAUCACUGCUGGGGAUGAGGAAACGGUGAUUUCAGGACUGUUUUUUCUGUCUCUUCAGUGCCUCUUUCAGUGAUCUCAGGUUAAAACCAGACUAUGGAGGAUUCAUCACCAGACCAGGAAGCAACAGCCUGGGCUCCAGAGUUGGCCAGCAGUCCAUGCACAGACGAGGAGAGGUCCCAUGAACCUUCAGCGUGGUCU